ACUCAAAGGAAUAGACGGGUGCCCGCACAAGCAGUGGAGUAUGUGGAUUAAUUCGACGCAACGCGAAGAACCUUACCAGGGCUUGACAUCCUACUAACGAGGCAGAGAUGCGUCAGGUGCCCUUCGGGGAAAGUAGAGACAGGUGGUGCAUGGUUGUCGUCAGCUCGUGUCGUGAGAUGUUGGGUUAAGUCCCGCAACGAGCGCAACCCUUACGGUUAGUUGCUACGCGAGAGCACUCUAGCUGGACUGCCGUUGACAAAACGGAGGAAGGUGGGGACGAUGUCAAAUCAUCAUGCCCCUUAUGUCCUGGGCUUCACACGUACUACAAUGGCGGUACACAACGGGCAGCGAAGGCGCGAGCCGGAGCGAAUCCCCAAAAGCCGCCUCAGUUCAGAUUGCAGGCUGCAACUCGCCUGCAUGAAGUUGGAAUUGCUAGUAAUCGCGAAUCAGCAUGUCGCGGUGAAUACGUUCCCGGGCAUUGUACACACCGCCCGU
rnacentral:rRNA from 1 species